rnacentral:tRNA from 1 species
GGGAAAGUGGCUCAGUGGUAGAGCUCUUGCCUUGCAUGCAUGAGGCCCUGGGUUCAAUUCUUCAGCACCA